rnacentral:rRNA from 1 species
AACGAACGCUGGCGACAGGCUUAACACAUGCAAGCCGAGCGCCCCGCAAGGGGAGCGGCAGACGGGUGAGUAACGCGUGGGAAUCUACCCAUCUCUACGGAAUAACGCAUGGAAACGUGUGCUAAUACCGUAUACGUCCUUCGGGAGAAAGAUUUAUCGGAGAUGGAUGAGCCCGCGUUGGAUUAGCUAGUUGGUGGGGUAAAGGCCUACCAAGGCGACGAUCCAUAGCUGGUCUGAGAGGAUGAUCAGCCACACUGGGACUGAGACACGGCCCAGACUGCGACGGGAGGCAGCGGUGGGGAAGGUUGGACAAUGGGCGCAAGCCGGUUCCAGCCAUGCCGCGUGAGUGAUAAAGGCCCUAGGGUUGUAAAGCUCUUUCAGCGGUGAAGAUAAUGACGGUAACCGGAGAAGAAGCCCCGGCUAACUUCGUGCCAGCCGCCGCGGUAAAAC